rnacentral:misc_RNA from 1 species
UGGGCCAAGCCAAGAUGGGGCG